rnacentral:tRNA from 1 species
GCACUCAUAGCGCAAUUGGAUAGAGCGUCUGGCUACGGACCAGAAGGUUGGGAGUUCGAGUCUCUUUGGGUGCACCA